GCGAUUCACAAUUUCCUUUCGCAAGUCAGGCUGGAGUUAAUGGCUCUUUCCUGCAGCGGCGGAGAUGCCCACAGUGCUGAGCAGGCAGUUUGAAAGCCCCACUUCCUGUCUCUGCAUGGACGCGUGUCCACUGGAAGCCACUGAGAGGAAGGAGGGAAACCUCAGAAACCGGCCCCUGCCUGGCUGCUUCACCCUAGAAAGCCCAGGCAGAGGAGGGAAAGGUGACAUGUUGAAAAAGAAUAAAAAAAGGGGAACAUGAAAAGAGCAAGAGCAGGAGGCAGGGACAGGGACCUACAGAAAAUAUGUGGUACCUCGGCAGCCUGGCCUGCAGCUCUCCCCUCCCCAUCAGAGAGUCCUGCUACAGCAGGUCCAGGUGUCUGGAUGCCCUGCAAGCACGGCUCUCUGCAGACCUCUGGACACUACCAUGGGAGCCGCACAGUCCCUGCCUGUUCUGUCUGGCAGUUCUUGUUUCCCAGCACCCGCUCUCAGGUGAGAGGUUCCCUCCUCUGCUGGGCUUCUCCUCCCUGCUGUGAACCCCAAAUAUCUGAGGCAGGUCAAUUUAGGAACUUCAUUAUGCCAAAGUUGAGGAUAUGCCCAUGACACAGCCUCAGGAGGUCCUGACGACAUGUACCCAAGGCGAUCGGUGCACAGCUUGGUUUUAUACAUUUAUACAGACAUCAGUCAAUAUAUGUAAGAUAAACAUUGGUUCAGUACCAAAAGGCUGGACAAUCCCAAGUGGAGAGGGGGCUCCCAGGUCACAGGUAGAUAAGAGACAAAAGGUUGCAUUCUUUGGAGUUUCUGAUUAGCUUUUCCAAAGGAGGCAAUCAGAUAUGCAUUUAUCUCAGUGAGCAGAGGGGUGACUUUGAAUGGAAUAGAAGGCAGUUCUCAGCUCAACUUUUCCCUUUAGCUUAGUGAUUUUGGGGUCCCAAGAUUUAUUUUCCAUUUACUCUGCAGACAGUCAGGGGCUUCUGUGCAUCCAAGGAGCUCCUCCUCACAGAAGGACGCAGGCCAUUACUGAGACCCAAUCCAGCUCCAACCUCCUGGUAACAAUUAGGACAUCACUUCGCUGAGCAACAGCUUCCUGCCUGUCCACGAGUUAUCAAGACAUUCCAAUUGUUCCUCCACAUCAUUGGCAUGAAGAGUUGAGGGGGUCAGAUUUUCCAGGGGGCUUGAUGGCAAGUUCUCUUCACUGUUCCCUGCUCUGGUCACCCAGGUGACCCUGGGCAGGGAAGAGGCCCCGAGUUGCAGAAUCUCUGUUCUCACAAUCCAUUGCCACCCUGAAGAGCUGCUUUGCCACUAUUCCUAGGAUGCCGUUGGCUAUUUCAGGAAAGGAAGCGUUUGACUUUUCCCUUUGCAGUGAUUUCUGCAAGGAAAGGAAUUGAGAGACUCAAGUCCCUGAGAUAAAUAUUCAUCAACUAUUACUGAAAGGGAGCAUGUCAAAGAAAAAAUGUGGAGAAACUUCAGCUGGAACACAUAGUUUAAAUCCAGCUUGGUGUAGUCCAGUGGGCAUGGAGGUAUCAUUGUUUUGCAGUGCAUUCUUCUAUGAUCAAUACACAAAAGCAAACGGGCCACGCUGGCAAACAGUAAUUUUCAUUUACCAGGGUAAAUAUGGAAGUCCUCUUAUUCCCAUGUCAUGGUGAAGAAAGCAAGGACCAUCCUUUGCCAAGGGAUAGUGGCUGUGGGGGAACUGAGGAGAUGGAAGGACAAGGCAGUCAAAAACUUUUGGAGCACUUUUUUUUUGAGAUGGAGUUUUGCUCUUGUUGUCCAGGCUGGAAUGCAAGGCUGGAAUGCAAUGGCGUGAUCUUCGCUCACCACAACCUCUGCCUCCCAGGUUCAAGUGAUUCUCCUGCCUCAGCCUCCCGAGUAGCUGGGAUUACAGGCAUGCGCCACCAUGCCUGGCUAAUUUUGUAUUUUUAAUAGAGAUGGGAUUUCUCCAUGUUGGUCAGCUGGUCUCGAACUCUUGACCUCGGGUGAUCCACCCACCUUGGCCUCCCAAAGUGCUGGGAUUAUAGACGUGAGCCACCGCGCCCAGCCCUUUUCUGGAAUAACUUUUACAGGUUUUCAAACUAUUACACUUGCGUUUUCAUAGGAGAGAGGACAUAGUCACUGAACAAUUGCUGCAGAUUUGAAGUAAGUCCAGGAUGGGAUGACAAUGAAACAACCACGAAAUGAAAGGAAGAAUGUGUCACUGAUAUGUCCACACGUCUCCAAAUCUCUCACCUCUGUCAGCUGCAAACAGAGCCUGAAAUAAAUGUUUCCUCCGUGCACAGCCUCCGCAACUUCCUCCCUCCACGUUUCUCACUCACUCCUCUCCAGCACUUCUCUCCUGGUUCUGCUUGCAAACUUGAAACCAGCUUUGCAAAAAUUAUAACUGAGGAAAUUAUGACAAUGAAAGAGAUCAGACCUAACUGACUCCAUCUUGCUUCUAACCUUUAAGCUGUCCUUGUUCAUUUUUGGGCUGAACUAACUUUGGGAAGGAAUUCAGUUCAUGGUAUAACUCUGAAACAAAAUUGACAAUAGCCCUUUCUUGAAAAGACCCCCUUCUUUCCUGGGGACCAGUUUGCCUUUGCAGGACUAACAAAUUAACUACAAGAUUAGAAAUUAAGGUUUAGGGCUCAUGCAGCCUCUGGCUGCGAGAGUCUGAAGCUCCCCAGAUUGCUCCUGGGGAUAACAUCACUAUUGCAAAACCCAAGAUCAGAGCUUGAGAUAUUUCGUAGACCCUGCUCUGGAUAGAUCGGCUGACAUCAUCCAGACCAGUAAUCUGGCCCAACCAGCUCUGCCAUCCCAUCCAGGAACAGAAGAAAAACUCACUUCAACCCGCUAUGAGUCCAUCUCCAACCUGACCAAUCAGCACUCCCUAUUUCCCGGGCCCCUACUUGCCACAUCUGCCUUUGGAGGCAGGUAACAACUUAUCUUUAAGAACUCCGAUCCCUGAGUGCUCAGGACACUGAUUGAAGUAAUAAUAAAACUCCGGUCUUCUGCACAGCCGGCUCUGCGUGAAUUACUCCUUUCCCAUUGCAAUUCUCUUGUCUUGAUAAAUCGGUUCUGUCUAGGCAGCAGGCAAGAGGAACCCAUCGGGCGGUUACAAACUUAUCCUCUGUGGAAGAGUAGGAGUUCACGGAGAAAUUGGUUUCAAAUUACAAAAUUUUAUUGUGAGGUCCACUUGUCCCAGUGUCUAUCUGUGCAGUGAAGGGCCUCUGUGUGGUGUAGUGAUUGCAAGUUGGGUCUCUAGGGUCAGGUUGUCUAGGUU
ensembl:lncRNA